UCUUUUUUGGUGUUCAGCCACGCAAAGCUUUGAUCUUUGAAGAGAAGGUUAAGCUCCUUCAGAAAGAA
rnacentral:tRNA from 1 species